rnacentral:rRNA from 1 species
GGAGGAAAGCAGGGGAUCGUAAGACCUUGCGUUAAUGGAGCGGCCGAUAUCUGAUUAGCUAGUUGGUGAGGUAAAGGCUCACCAAGGCGACGAUCAGUAGCUGGUUUGAGAGAACGACCAGCCACACUGGAACUGAGACACGGUCCAGACUCCUACGGGAGGCAGCAGUGGGGAAUUUUGGACAAUGGGGGCAACCCUGAUCCAGCCAUUCCGCGUGAGUGAAGAAGGCCUUCGGGUUGUAAGGCUCUUUCGCAAGGGAAGAAAACUUAUGAUCGAAUAAAUCAUGAGGUUGACGGUACCUUGAUAAGAAGCACCGGCUAACUACGUGCCAGCAGCCGCGGUAAUACGUAGGGUGCGAGCGUUAAUCGGAAUUACUGGGCGUAAAGCGUGCGCAGGCGGUUUUGUAAGUCGGAUGUGAAAUCCCCGGGCUCAACCUGGGAACUGCGUUUGAAACUACAAGGCUAG